rfam:Lactobacillus ingluviei strain DSM 14792 Scaffold3, whole genome shotgun sequence.
AGACAACUACAACCGCACGGUGGUAAGUUUUAAAGCUUUGCGCUGCUUAUCCUGGCGAGUCUAAGAAUUAAG